rnacentral:rRNA from 1 species
AACGAACGCUGGCGGCAGGCUUAACACAUGCAAGUCGAACGCACCUUUCGGGGUGAGUGGCAGACGGGUGAGUAACGCGUGGGAAUCUACCCUUCUCUACGGGAUAGCUCCGGGAAACUGGAAUUAAUACCGUAUACGUCCUGAGGGAGAAAGAUUUAUCGGGGAAGGAUGAGCCCGCGUUGGAUUAGCUAGUUGGUGGGGUAAAGGCCUACCAAGGCGACGAUCCAUAGCUGGUCUAAGAGGAUGAUCAGCCACAUUGGGACUGAGACACGGCCCAAACUCCUACGGGAGGCAGCAGUGGGGAAUAUUGGACAAUGGGCGCAAGCCUGAUCCAGCCAUGCCGCGUGAGUGAUGAAGGCCCUAGGGUUGUAAAGCUCUUUCAGUGGGGACGAUAAUGACGGUACCCACAGAAGAAACCCCGGCUAACUUCGU